GUGUCAGCAGCCGCGGUAAAACGUAGGUGGCGAGCGUUAUCCGGAUUCAUUGGGCGUAAAGAGCUUGUAGGUGGCCCUGUAAGUUGGACGUGAAACCCCCGGGCUUAACUCGGGGAGGCCGUUCAAUACUGCGGGGCUGGAGGGCGUCAGAGGGGAGUGGAAUUCCUGGUGUAGCAGUGAAAUGCGUAGAUAUCAGGAGGAACACCCGUGGCGAAAGCGGCUCCCUGGGGCGCACCUGACACUGAGAAGCGAAAGCUAGGGGAGCAAACGGGAUUAGAAACCCGCGUAGUCC
rnacentral:rRNA from 1 species